AGUGAAGGAGCUAUGCGAAGCAGCGCCCCGGGUGCAAAUCGGAGGGCGUUCCCACAUGUGUGGCGAGGCGAGCAGGGAACUUCUGAUGUCGGCGACCGCGCGCCGCGGUUCCGUUGCAGUUUCGGUCUUUUCUUACUGCACAGCGGAAAUGGCAUCGCAAUUCUCUAAGUGGUGGGGAAGCUUAGUUGCAAGUCGAAGCAGAACAACAAAACACAAAGUUUCUAUGCAAAUAUAGCAUCUCCGGUUCACUUAGGAAGACGCUGUGGAGUAUAUGGUAACCGAAUCUGCUCUGAAGUGCCCUCAAACUAUUCUUCGCCCGUUUUGUCCCCGGGUUAGAAUUUGGAGUAAUGACAGAGUGUACUGCCAAAAGAGCUUCUCACAACUCCACCGCCUAUGAACUUAGGGUUUCUUCUUUGCGACCAAAUUCACCGGACCAAUUCAGGCAAAUACAAGGUCGUAACAAGAUACUCAAAAGAUAGACGGGUAAGAAACACACAUGCUAUUUUUAGUGAGUUGGUGUUAGUGUUGAGAAUACUCUGCUAACCCUAAAAAGGCAUCCUCUUAACAAGGUGUCUAAAAUUGCGAUAAUGUUCAUGAUUAUGGUGAUAGUGUUGAGAAUACUCUGCUAACCCUAAAAAAGCAUCCUCUUAACAAGGUGUCUAAAAUUGCGAUAAUGUUCAUGAUUACUAAACAAAACAAACAUCCUUUUCAUACACGAACCCAGAUAUUUGACUGUCCAGAACUGGAUCGAAAAUACCCAUCUCAUAGGCUUUACAUGAAGUUACUAACUGAUUGCAAAAACGUGAAACAUCCAUCUACAAUGUUUCCAAUCUUUCUGCUAUGAAACUGCGGUUGUACACAAUCUAUUAGAAUUUACAGUUUCCUUUUCCGUUUCCUGAAAGAGAUGGUGUCGAAAGGACCCGCUUGCAGGUUGCCGAAAUGGUGUGGUAGGCUGCAGCUGCACCUUAAGCAGCCAUUUGUUAACAUCUUCAUGCACCACAUUUUAAAGCCGUAAAUCCAUAUACAGUUACUAUAAAUGAUAGAUCUGUUGUUUGCGGAGGCCAAGGGAUGUUUUCAUUCACCCAGUAGUGAAGGAUCCUUCAUAUAGAAUGAGCAGACACAUCUCCUGCUGCGAAUCAGGAAUGACCUCAUUUCCCUGUUUUUCUUUUCAGAAAGAAUGUGUUGUCUAUACAGGAAAAGAGGAAGUUGAUUCUUAAUGCAUUUUUUUAAAGUAUUAUAGAACUUUCAAGAUCCAAAAUUUUCUUGAUAAUACUUCAAAUAAAAUAAUAAAAUAAUAAAAUAAUAAAUCUGUUA